rnacentral:pre_miRNA from 1 species
GGUGACAGAAGAGAGUGAGCACACGGCCGGGCGGAACGGCACCGGCGGAUAGUAGCCGUCGCGGCCGCGUGCUCACUGCUCUGUCUGUCAUC